rnacentral:rRNA from 1 species
CAGGACGAACGCUGGCGGCGUGCCUAAUACAUGCAAGUCGAACGGUCUUUCUAUGGAAGCUUGCUUCCACUGAGAAGAUAGUGGCGAACGGGUGAGUAACACGUGGGUAACCUGCCCAUAAGAGGGGGGAUAACAUCCGGAAACGGGUGCUAAUACCGCAUAGUUUUCUUGGUCGCAUGAUCGGGAAAGGAAAGACGGCCUUUGUGCUGUCGCUUAUGGAUGGACCCGCGGCGUAUUAGUUAGUUGGUGAGGUAACGGCUCACCAAGACGAUGAUACGUAGCCGACCUGAGAGGGUGAUCGGCCACAUUGGGACUGAGACACGGCCCAAACUCCUACGGGAGGCAGCAGUAGGGAAUCUUCCGCAAUGGACGAAAGUCUGACGGAGCAACGCCGCGUGAGUGAAGAAAGGUUUUCGGAUCGUAAAACUCUGUUGUCAGAGAAGAACAAGUUGGAGAGUAACUGCUCCAGCCUUGACGGUAUCUGACCAGAAAGCCACGGCUAACUACGUGCCAGCCGCCGC